rnacentral:rRNA from 1 species
AACGUAGGGGACAAGCGUUAUCCGGAUUUACUGGGCGUAAAGCGCCCGUAGGCGGCCUGACAAGUUGGACGUGAAAGCUCCUGGCUUAACUGGGGAGAGGCCGUUCAAAACUGUCAAGCUAGAGUCUGGAAGAGGAGAGCGGAAUUCCCGGUGUAGUGGUGGAAUGCGCAGAUAUCAGGAGGAACAGCCGGUGGCGAAGGCGGAUCUCUGGGCCGGUACUGACGCUGAGGAGCGAAAGCGUGGGGAGCGAACAGG